CACGUAGGGGGCAAGCGUUGUCCGGAUUUAUUGGGCGUAAAGAGCUCGUAGGUGGUUCGGUAAGUCAGGUGUGAAACCUCCAGGCUCAACCUGGAGACGCCACUUGAUACUGCUGUGACUGGAGUCCGGUAGGGGAGCGUGGAAUUCCUGGUGUAGCGGUGAAAUGCGCAGAUAUCAGGAGGAACACCGGUGGCGAAGGCGGCUUGCUGGGCCAGUUCUGACGCUGAGGAGCGAAAGCGUGGGGAGCGAACAGG
rnacentral:rRNA from 1 species